AUUGAACGCUGGCGGCAUGCCUUACACAUGCAAGUCGAACGGCAGCACGGGAGCAAUCCUGGUGGCGAGUGGCGAACGGGUGAGUAAUAUAUCGGAACGUGCCCAGUCGUGGGGGAUAACGUAGCGAAAGCUACGCUAAUACCGCAUACGAUCUAUGGAUGAAAGCGGGGGAUCGCAAGACAUCGCGCGAUUGGAGCGGCCGAUAUCAGAUUAGGUAGUUGGUGAGGUAAAGGCUCACCAAGCCGACGAUCUGUAGCUGGUCUGAGAGGACGACCAGUCACGCUGGGACUGAGACACGGCCCAGACUCCUACGGGAGGCAGCAGUGGGGAAUUUUGGACAAUGGGCGCAAGCCUGAUCCAGCAAUGCCGCGUGCAGGAUGAAGGCCUUCGGGUUGUAAACUGCUUUUGUACGGAACGAAACGGUGAGCUCUAAUACAGUUUGCUAAUGACGGUACCGUAAGAAUAAGCACCGGCUAACUACGUGCCAGCAGCCGCGGUAA
rnacentral:rRNA from 1 species